ACGUGCCAGCAGCCGCGGUAAUACGUAGGGUGCAAGCGUUAUCCGGAAUUAUUGGGCGUAAAGGGCUCGUAGGCGGUUCGUCGCGUCCGGUGUGAAAGUCCAUCGCUUAACGGUGGAUCUGCGCCGGGUACGGGCGGGCUGGAGUGCGGUAGGGGAGACUGGAAUUCCCGGUGUAACGGUGGAAUGUGUAGAUAUCGGGAAGAACACCAAUGGCGAAGGCAGGUCUCUGGGCCGUUACUGACGCUGAGGAGCGAAAGCGUGGGGAGCGAACAGGAUUAGAUACCCUGGUAGUCCACGCCGUAAACGGUGGAUGCUGGAUGUGGGGCCCGUUCCACGGGUUCCGUGUCGGAGCUAACGCGUUAAGCAUCCCGCCUGGGGAGUACGGCCGCAAGGCUAAAACUCAAAGAAAUUGACGGGGGCCCGCACAAGCGGCGGAGCAUGCGGAUUAAUUCGAUGCAACGCGAAGAACCUUACCUGGGCUUGACAUGUUCCCGACAGCCGUAGAGAUGCGGCCUCCCUUCGGGGCGGGUUCACAGGUGGUGCAUGGUCGUCGUCAGCUCGUGUCGUGAGAUGUUGGGUUAAGUCCCGCAACGAGCGCAACCCUCGCCCUGUGUUGCCAGCACGUCAUGGUGGGAACUCACGGGGGACCGCCGGGGUCAACUCGGAGGAAGGUGGGGAUGACGUCAGAUCAUCAUGCCCCUUACGUCCAGGGCUUCACGCAUGCUACAAUGGCCGGUACAACGGGAUGCGACACGGCGACGUGGAGCGGAUCCCUGAAAACCGGUCUCAGUUCGGAUUGCAGUCUGCAACCCGACUCCGUGAAGGCGGAGUCGCUAGUAAUCGCGGAUCAGCAACGCCGCGGUGAAUGCGUUCCCGGGCCUUGUACACACCGCCCGUCAAGUCAUGAAAGUGGGUAGCACCCGAAGCCGGUGGCCUAACCCCUUGUGGGAUGGAGCCGUCUAAGGUGAGACUCGUGAUUGGGACUAAGUCGUAACAAGGUAGCCGUACCGGAAGGGG
rnacentral:rRNA from 1 species